CAAUAGCGUAUAUUUAAGUUGUUGCAGUUAAAAAGCUCGUAGUUGGAUUUCGGAUGGGACUUGCCGGUCCGUCGUUUCGAUGUGCACUGGCCAGUCCUAUCUUGUUGUCGGGGACUAGCUCCUGGGCUUCACUGUCCGGGACUAGAAGCUGACGAGGUUACUUUGAGUAAAUUAGAGUGUUCAAAGCAAGCCUACGCUCUGAAUACAUUAGCAUGGAAUAACACGAUAGGACUCUGGCUUAUCUUGUUGGUCUGUGAGACCAGAGUAAUGAUUAAGAGGGACAGUCGGGGGCAUUCGUAUUUCAUUGUCAGAGGUGAAAUUCUUGGAUUUAUGAAAGACGAACUUCUGCGAAAGCAUUUGUCAAGGAUGUUUUCAUUAA
rnacentral:rRNA from 1 species